UGCGUAGGCGGGCUAAUCAGUCAGUGGUGAAAUCUUCCGGCUUAACCGGGAAACUGCCAUUGAUACUAUUAGUCUUGAGCUCGGUUGAGGUAGGCGGAAUGUGUAAUGUAGCGGUGAAAUGCUUAGAUAUUACACAGAACACCAAUUGCGUAGGCAGCUUACUAGACCGACACUGACGCUGAGGCACGAAAGCGUGGGGAGCGAACAGGAUUAGAUACCCUGGUAGUCC
rnacentral:rRNA from 1 species